AUUGAACGCUGGCGGCAGGCUUAACACAUGCAAGUCGAGCGGGGAAGGGUAGCUUGCUACCUGACCUAGCGGCGGACGGGUGAGUAAUGCUUAGGAAUCUGCCUAUUAGUGGGGGACAACAUUCCGAAAGGAAUGCUAAUACCGCAUACGCCCUACGAGGGAAAGCAGGGGAUCAUCGGACCUUGCGCUAAUAGAUGAGCCUAAGUCAGAUUAGCUAGUUGGUGGGGUAAAGGCCUACCAAGGCGACGAUCUGUAGCGGGUCUGAGAGGAUGAUCCGCCACACUGGGACUGAGACACGGCCCAGACUCCUACGGGAGGCAGCAGUGGGGAAUAUUGGACAAUGGGCGAAAGCCUGAUCCAGCCAUGCCGCGUGUGUGAAGAAGGCCUUUUGGUUGUUAAGCACUUUAAGCGAGGAGGAGGCUACUUGGAUUAAUACUCUAGGAUAGUGGACGUUACUCGCAGAAUAAGCACCGGCUAACUCUGUGCCAGCAGCCGCGGUAACAC
rnacentral:rRNA from 1 species